UGGGGUGGGGGGUGGAUGUGAUUUUAAGACGCUGAAAAGAGACUCCACACUGCUGUUUAUUCCUGAGGCAAUUGGAAAGUCGGGGUUAAAGGAGAGGAGGACCCUUGCCGCCCAUGCAUUUUUAUAUGCUCGAUUGGAAACUGUCCUCAUAAAUGCAGCCUGAAUGUUAAUGGCCAACCGUUCCAGCUACUUAACACUCCUCUGCGUAAGCAGCUCUGGAAAUUGAGGUUGCUGCUUACAGAGCACAAGUGUGCUGAUUUAGGGAGGCUGCAGUUCACAGCCUGCUCUUUCCCAGCCAUCCCCUUCUGUAAGCCCAGGACGGUGAAGCUUGGUGUACGAGAAGAGGUCUUCCUGGGAAGUAGACUGUAGCUGUGUUUGUCUCUGACUUUGCAUUGUGGCACUUUUUAUUGAGACAGGGUCCCACCAUGUGGCCCCGGUUAAUCUGGAACCCACAGAGAUCCAUCUGCCUCUGCCUCCUGGGGUUAAAGGAAGACACCAGUAUGUCUGGCCCUGCAUCCUGGUGCUUUAUGCAUAUGUGUCUAAUCAUUUCAGCGGUUAUGUCUGUAUUUAUUGCACAUUUGUUGUGUGUUAGACCCUGGCUAACAGCUUUCUGUGCGUUGUGUCAGUUGAUUCUGACAAGUCUUUGGAGGUUUUACUAUGUUCCCAUCUGAAAGGUAGUUCAGUGCAAUUAAUAGUUAAAUCUACAGGCUCUCAGACCAGGGAGCUUGGGUUUGCCGCUCGGCUUCCUCACAUCGUAACUGUAGACCCAGGAACCGGGUCAUGAUGUCUCUAAGCUUCGGCUUUCUUAUCUAUAAGAUGGAGGCUACAGAUGUGGAAAUGAUCAUAGGAUCCAUCUCAGGUAAUUGUUCCGAGUUUAAAUGAUUUAAUGCAAAUAAACUCACUACCAUAUAGUAGACACUCAAAAAAUGUUAACUGUUCUGGUGUCCGUCAGACGACAGCAAAGCUUGGGAAGGCCGGGUGCUUUCUCCAGGGCCUCCAACUGUAACCAGUCAAGUGGGAUUCUCCCAGCUUCACACCUGUAUUAGUCAACUGGGUAAGCAACUGUGAAGUUCCCUGCAGGUGGGAAUGAUGCCCCUCUGCUCUCCAGGUGUUCAGCACUGAUGCUUUGGAUACUAUGCCUUCUUCUUCAUGAACAUUAGACGAGAAGCUGUAAUUUAAUUUAAUUUAGGUUUUCAGAAUGUAUGACAAAGUCAUCAGGAAAGCAGACUUAUAAAAACCAAAGCAAAGCAAACAAACAGGGCUCUCAGCUACAACGUAAGAAGGCGCGCCUCAGCCAGUUCCCUCCAAGGACCCCAGAAACAUUUGCCUUAUUUAUUUUCAGAACACCGAAGGAGAAAGCUCAGGCCUGGAGUGUGAGCAGCUCCUCAGAGGAAGGAGAAGGGGCCUCUGGACAAAUCGCUCUGGUCUUAGCAGAGUAGAGGACCUUGGCACCAUUUCUGCAAUAGUGUCCCCUGGGGACCUGGGAGAGUUUACAGCUUUCCCAGCUGAGGACAAUGAACCUACAACAAUACCCCCCUAACAGAUGGAGCUGGGAAGUUUGCACGCUCUCUAUAUGAAGUAGCAGGACCGCGACAAAGGGUAGACUUUAUGACUGCUUAGGAGAUGCCACCAGGAUGUCAACGCUGAUCAGGGGAUCUGACACACGCCACCAUUUAGUGUUCUGUUCAACCAUCAGUGUGAAGCUGUCUGUGGUUCACCUCUAACUUCUUGACCCACUCUGGACUUCCAGGAAGGUUAAGAACCCUAUUUUAGGGGAAAGAUUAGAGAACACUUUUAAGUCAAGGUUUUCAUUCCAUAACCAUGGUUACUGGAUCUGUACAUUCCACCAACUACAAAUAAAAAAAAUAUUCACAAACUUUGUCAUUAUUAAACAUGCAUAGAUAUUUGUCUCAUUGUUUCUUCCCAGUUCAGUAUAAGGACAUUUACUUGACAUUGACAUUGAAUUGGAUAUUAUAAAUAACCUAAAGUUGAUUUAAAGUGUGUGAGAAGAUGUGCAUGGGUUACAUACAGACACUCCCCCAUUGUAUAAAGGACCUGUGCACCCACCACUUGGUAUCUGUGGGUGCUGCAAAGGGUGCCUGUGGAUGCAGAGGGAUGGCUGCAAUCACUCUUUAAGCUCACAGUGGGCCUCUUUGUUCUUUAGUUUAAGUAUCUGAGUGAUCCAAAAGGAUAUCAAGACCUUGCCUAUUAGGAGCCUGUGAGGUAAGGGGCACAGUCAUUGUUAGAGUGUGGCACUGUUUCCUUAAAGGAGUAACAUGUAUUUGUCAGGAAGUGAGUAGGGGUGAAGGAAGGAGGCAGCGAAACAAUGCCUACAACAAUCUUGACUAGGUCUUGCCCUCUAGGACAUUCUUAUGUGCUAACACAACAUACUACUUUGCUAGGACUUGUGUAAUAAAAUACCACAACCUGUGUGGUUUAAACUACAAACCUGGAGGCUGGAAGUUGAGAUUCAAGGUGUUGUCAUUUCUCCUGAGGACUCCUUCCUUGGCUUUCAGGACCAUAACUUUAUAAUCUCAUUGCUUAUCACCGCUUCAGCUCCUGUCUCUAAACACAGUAACUUUAGAGAUUAAAACGUCAACAUGGAAACUUGGAGUGAGAAAUGAUUUUUCCCCCCGUAAUUCUGCACUGUGAUGUUGACACUUCCCUUGGUAUGUAUUCUCUGUGGGUCUUCCUUCUGAGACUGCACUUAGGUCUUGAUUCCAGCUCGGCUACUGACCUGUGCCGACUUCCUCCACUGUAAGAUCCUGCACUGAAGCAUU